UUGAGCCGGGAAACCCGCUGAACUUAAGCAUAU
rnacentral:rRNA from 1 species